AGAUACUGACAGCCAGUAUUUGAAUAGGAACCUGUUUGUUUCGGGUGAUCAGGAUUAAUUGUUAAUAUUCUCUUGGAGGGAACUGGGACAACCUCAGCUGACAAGCCUUUGAUUUGGAUGUCAUGGGAGAAGACAUAGACUAUGAUGACCUGGUCCGCAGAGGACAUCUGGCUGCUUCUAAGGUGAUCAUACUCCAGGUCUGUCACUUUCAGGAUGCUGUGAGAGCUACAUUGGCACGUGUGCCCUGUGUCCCUGCACAGUGUUCUCCUUAGGACCAUGGGACAAACCAGCUGGGAAGCAAACCAGGUAUCCUUGCUUUCAAUGGGAAAAGGAACCCUAGAAAUAUAAUGGUUAGAAAUCACAUUAAAGAAAUGAAAGGACAGAAAGGACACCCCUGAUAUACAAGCGAUUACUUUAGUAAAGCAUUGACAUUUAAUUCUGGACAGGAUUUUAUUUACCAACAUGUUAAAAUAUUUGUCAAUACACUAAAAGAGUUAAACAUAAGCCUUUUCAGCUAUACAGGCACCGAUGGCUCUGAAAGAAACAUAAAAUACGUGUUCAGAGGACCAAUGAAUCCAAAUGAUUGCAAAUAAUUGACCAGCAAUUACUAGAAUGUUAAUUGCACUGUAACAUACCUAAGAAGAAUGCAUACAAGGCUGGUCUGUAAGUUACUUACUUUUAUUCCCUUACAGAUGAGAAAACUGAGGCUCUGGAAAUUCAGUAAUUAUACCAAAAACACACAAGCAGUAAAUGACAGCUGUGAUUUGAACACAUGCAUAUAUUUUUUCUAUUGUAAUACUGCUAUCUUGCUGGAUCCUGAAAUAUCUGUAAGGUGUUUAUGAGUUGGUUUUAUUGCCUCUACUAAAUAAGCUAUGUAGCCCAACAGCUAGAAUGGAAAUCAGAAAGCUAAAUUUGGAUUCAUAAUCUGUCACUUACUCUUUUUUUUUUUU
rnacentral:lncRNA from 1 species